CAAAAUUUAAUGUAUACAGUUUCAGUGGUGGAUAAAGAAAUUGAAUAGCCAAUCUGCAAUAAACCAAGAACCUUUAAUCAAUUUUCUUUCCGUCAACUAUUAUUUCCUUCUCGCUACUCACAUGUGUAUUCCGACUAUUUCUUCAAACUUCUAUUAAAAUGUGCUUUCUUAUUUGGGAUUAACAGGCAAUUUAUGAAAAGAUUAGGGAGCUCUCAAACUGUCAAAUUGUUUAUCCAGGAAUUGAUUUUCUGAAGAAAGAAGCUGGUAUUCCUAAGAGUCGUCAAAGUUGAGGAUAUUCCUGGUUUGAAGGAAGCCGGAUGGACUCCUGAUCAAUGGGGUCAUACACGAUUUAGAUCCUUAAUUGUAUCUGC